UUUCUACUGUAUUUUUUAUGUUGGGGCUUAUCAAGUAUGAAUUAGUGGAAAUCUUUAGGGUGAGAUAUCAGGCCAUAGUGAGAGGGCAUAAGCAGAUGACACUACUGUCACAAAGCCAGUAUUUUAUCAUUUCAGAGAAGUGGGCUGACCUGACUUGUUUGUGCAGUUUUAGGCAUCAGGGGAAUUAGCAGAGAUUUGAAGAGAGAGGCAACACACAGAGAGAGAGAAGACAAAGAGAAGGAAGGAAGACAGAGAGACAGAGGGAGAAAAGGAUUGAGGAAAAGAAAGUGGGGGAACAGAGGAGGAGGAGGGAAAAGAGAAAGAGAGACAGACAGAAACCGAGACAGCGAAAGUGUGAUAACAUAAACAGAGAAGCAAACAGAAAGAUGGGAGAGACACCAAGAGAGAGAAGGAGACACAUACGUGAAGAGUUAGAUGUGCACACAUGAGCGUGUCUCCGGGAAGAAGAAAGGUUCUGUGGAUGAGGCAUGGUGCCUGGCACAGACUGACACACAUUGGGACAAACUUGGCAGAGCAGCCAGAGCCAAAGCAAAAAACAGAAAUGAACCAAGAUACAACCUUUGUGGAAAACUCUUUUGAACAAAAGCAACUCUGUGGAGUAUCCUCUCAGCUGCAAAGUGAGACAGAAUUACGGGACAAGCUUGGCCACUGAUAGAGGGACUUUACCAUGGCUCCACAGAGCUGCAGCCUCCUUCUGGAAGACCUCCCCCCAUGUCACUGGCAGCUUCCUCCUCAUCCUUCAAGGCACAGCCCGCAUGCCAGCUUUGGUGAAGUCUCUCCUCUUUCCAGACAUACUUAUUGUUCUGGGCUCUGGCUGAGUUACCACAGCAUCCAUGUUUUUCAUCACAUUUCACAGUGUGACUGAUGUGAUUUAGCUCCAUAACAGGUGGGUACAGGAUGUCUUUCUUCUCUGGCACCUCCAGCAUAAUCUGUAGUGGGUCAGAUCUUCCCAAAACUAGGCAAGUAUUACUUCUGCAAGGCUUCAGAAAUCCAGAGAGUCUUAACG
rnacentral:lncRNA from 1 species